ACGAACGCUGGCGGCGUGGAUAAGACAUGCAAGUCGAACGAGAGAAUUGCUAGCUUGCUAAUAAUUCUCUAGUGGCGCACGGGUGAGUAACACGUGAGUAACCUGCCCCCGAGAGCGGGAUAGCCCUGGGAAACUGGGAUUAAUACCGCAUAGUAUCGAAAGAUUAAAGCAGCAAUGCGCUUGGGGAUGGGCUCGCGGCCUAUUAGUUAGUUGGUGAGGUAACGGCUCACCAAGGCGAUGACGGGUAGCCGGUCUGAGAGGAUGUCCGGCCACACUGGAACUGAGACACGGUCCAGACACCUACGGGUGGCAGCAGUCGAGAAUCAUUCACAAUGGGGGAAACCCUGAUGGUGCGACGCCGCGUGGGGGAAUGAAGGUCUUCGGAUUGUAAACCCCUGUCAUGUGGGAGCAAAUUAAAAAGAUAGUACCACAAGAGGAAGAGACGGCUAACUCUGUGCCAGCAGCCGCGGUAAUACAGAGGUCUCAAGCGUUGUUCGGAAUCACUGGGCGUAAAGCGUGCGUAGGCUGUUUCGUAAGUCGUGUGUGAAAGGCGCGGGCUCAACCCGCGGACGGCACAUGAUACUGCGAGACUAGAGUAAUGGAGGGGGAACCGGAAUUCUCGGUGUAGCAGUGAAAUGCGUAGAUAUCGAGAGGAACACUCGUGGCGAAGGCGGGUUCCUGGACAUUAACUGACGCUGAGGCACGAAGGCCAGGGGAGCGAAAGGGAUUAGAUACCCCUGUAGUCCUGGCAGUAAACGGUGCACGCUUGGUGUGCGGGGAAUCGACCCCCUGCGUGCCGGAGCUAACGCGUUAAGCGUGCCGCCUGGGGAGUACGGUCGCAAGAUUAAAACUCAAAGAAAUUGACGGGGACCCGCACAAGCGGUGGAGUAUGUGGCUUAAUUCGAUGCAACGCGAAGAACCUUACCUGGGCUUGACAUGUAAUGAACAACAUGUGAAAGCAUGCGACUCUUCGGAGGCGUUACACAGGUGCUGCAUGGCCGUCGUCAGCUCGUGUCGUGAGAUGUUUGGUUAAGUCCAGCAACGAGCGCAACCCCUGUUGCCAGUUACCAGCACGUGAAGGUGGGGACUCUGGCGAGACUGCCCAGAUCAACUGGGAGGAAGGUGGGGACGACGUCAGGUCAGUAUGGCCCUUAUGCCCAGGGCUGCACACGUACUACAAUGCCCAGUACAGAGGGGGCCGAAGCCGCGAGGCGGAGGAAAUCCUAAAAACUGGGCCCAGUUCGGACUGUAGGCUGCAACCCGCCUACACGAAGCCGGAAUCGCUAGUAAUGGCGCAUCAGCUACGGCGCCGUGAAUACGUUCCCGGGUUUUGUACACACCGCCCGUCACAUCAUGGAAGCCGGUCGCACCCGAAGUAUCUGAAGCCAACCGCAAGGAGGCAGGGUCCUAAGGUGAGACUGGUAACUGGGAUG
rnacentral:rRNA from 1 species